rnacentral:misc_RNA from 1 species
UCUCCGUUGGUGAACCAGCGGAGGGAUCAUUACAGAGUUGCAAAACUCCCAAACCAUUGUGAACGUUACCUAUCCCGUUGCUUCGGCGGGCGGCCCGGGCCCCGCACCCGGCGCCCCCCGGCCCCCCGUGGGCGCCCGCCGGAGGUAAACCAAACCCCUGAAUUUCAUGGCCUCUCUGAGUCUUCUGUACUGAAUAAGUCAAAACUUUCAACAACGGAUCUCUUGGUUCUU